rnacentral:tRNA from 1 species
CCUGGCGGCUCAGAUGGUAAAGCGUCUGCCUGCAGUGCAGGAGACCUGGGUUCAAUCCUUGGGUCAGGA